rnacentral:rRNA from 1 species
GACGAACCGAGCGAACGUUGUUCGGAAUCCCUGGGCUUAAAGGGCGCGUAGGCGGGCCCGCCAGUCUGUGGUGAAAUCCUCCGGCUCAACCGGAGAACUGCCUCGGAUACUGCGGGUCUCGAGGGUGAUAGGGGUAUGCGGAACUAUCGGUGGAGCGGUGAAAUGCGUUGAUAUCGAUAGGAACUCCGGUGGCGAAGGCGGCAUACUGGAUCACUUCUGACGCUGAGGCGCGAAAGCCAGGGGAGCAAACGGG